GCGUGUGGCUUAAGUACGGCUGAGCGGACGGGAAGCCCUGUUCUCCACACCCUAUGGUCGUAUGUAUUGAAUUAAUCUAGAGUUUAGGAUUAUACAGUGCUUGUUGCUCCUGAUACUGUGAAGCAAUAAGUACGGAGUCUGUUGAGAAAGUCCGGAGCCCACCAUGACCAGUCUAUUGGAUAACUUGAGUAUUGCCGUAGUGUCUAGCUAAGCGCAUGUUAACGAAGCAACGCUUGGAGUGGUACAGGUCCGGGUUCGAUGAAAGUGUGACCUAUCGAUCCUUCAGUCCCUCGUAAUUUGAGGCUAGGGGUGCCAGAGAAGUAACCAGAAGGAUAAAUGGCUUGUGGCAGUUCAGCGUUCAUAGCGAUGUUACUUUUUAAUCCUUCGAUGUCGGCUCUUCCUAUCAUACCGAAGCAGAAGUUAGUAUUGUGACCCGAGCCCGCCAAACCGGUUGAGUUUCGGGUGCGGGGUACCCGCUCCGGGUAACGGGUUCGGCUUGGUCUGCUGAAACCCCAACCCGACCACUCUAAUCCUAC
rnacentral:ncRNA from 1 species